UGGGCUGUUGCAUUUUUGGCUUGCUGAAUUAUUGUAACGACGACGUUUUGGAACGCUGAAGCUGCUUUGGGAGUAAAGCUCGAAGACAUGCUUCUUUUGGAGAAAAGCACUCCUUCGUGUUAGGGUUCAAGCGAGAGAGAAAGAGAAGAGGAAGCCAUGGCUUGUGCGAUAGAAACCAACACUUGCUGACUCAAAGCACGUCACCGGAGGAGGUUGAAUCGGUAGAGGAAAUGAAGAAGGUGAUCGGAGGGACGAGAUGCGAGCUCGUGAGCAAAGUAAAGAGGAUUGUCGGAUUGAGAAGUGUAAAGCGUCGCGAGGAAUAUUCCUUUUCCCUUUUCUCCUCUUUCAUUUUCUUCAACCCUAUAUAAAGAGGGUUCCUUCUGCAAUAUAGAACACAAAUACUCUUUAGCGUUUUACAUUCAGUUUUAGAUUUAGGGUAUUUACGCUUUCGUAGACGUAGAGUUCUCGGCUGCCGAAUUUCGUCCAUAGGCUUGCGAGGGUCACAGACCGCAAGUGGUUUGGUCAUAAACAGACGAGGUAAAAAAGUAGGUAUUAUGCCUCGGUUAUGAACUGCGACAAAAGUGGUAACACAGUUGAAGCAAUUAUAGGAGGAUCUGUGAUCGAGAUUGACAAAAAUGCAACUGCAAGAAGCAAAAUCAGAGCAACAAAACGUGGUUUUGGCACUUCUUUUGCUUCACCAAAUAUUUGUGGCAUGAGAGUCUCCUUAACAGCAACCUAGAACAACAACCCAGAACCCAGAACAGUAACCCAGAACCCAAAACAGCAACCCAGAACUCAAAACAGCAACCCAGAACCACCAUAAUAGCAACCCAAAACCCAGAACAGUAACCUAGAACCACCAUAACAACAACCCAGAACCCAAUUUGAUUUCUACGCGAGUUCGUCCUCCUCAGUAAACGCAACCAGAAAGCACAUCGUGCCUCCAUGAUUCAAUCUUCUCCACCCCAACCUGCACACAGAACCCAGAAACUAAAAAAUCGCAGAAACCAAACUCAAAAAUCCUUUUAAUGGUGCCUACCUCCAUUGACGCGAACGAGUUCUUUUCUUCCUGGCAAGACGUGGGCUGGUUUCCCCCUUUCUCCUUUUUGAAGAACCCUAAUAUGGAUGUUAGACGCGGGCUGGAGACACAACUCGAGAGGACGGUAGGAGAGAAAACGAAGAGGGUGAGGGAGAUUGAGAAAUUCUCGCCGUCGCCGCGUCCUCGCCGCCACCGCGUCCACCAUCGUUUCUCUCUCGCCGCAUCGUCGUCGCACAUCGCAAGAGAAGAGGAGAGGUGCUAGGUUUUUGGGGAAAAGUUUUUACUACCCAGAGGCUAGGUUUAUCUGGAUUUAAGCUCCCACAGUCCCACAGUUCAAUAUAGUAUUUUUAAAAUUACAAGAUUGCCAUCAUGUUUUGUUGCUCUCAUUCCAUCCAACUACUGUAUUCAAUUCCAACAAGCGUGGAUUCGGUUCCACCAGAGUUUUACCACACUCACUCUCUGCUACAAGAGUGGGACCCAAACCUAAUCAUGCAACAUAUCUUCACCAUCAAAUCAGUUAUCCCAAGGUUCACCUACUCCUUCACAUCUCAUUUUGUUACCAUUUAUCAGGUCCAAUCAAUAGCUGCCCCAGUUCACUAAAUUCACCAAAACACAUAAUUUUUCACUUCAAUGAUCUUCAUCACCAUUUGUACCUGCAAGGAAAAGAAAUGGUGGAGUGAUUGAUGUGUGUGAUGUCUUAUUAGGUUUUGUUCUUGGAAAUAUUUUAUUAGAUUUUAUUCUUUGUUUUUGGUCGCAGAGAUUGAUGUCUCUGAUGGUGGUGAAUUUUAUAUGC